GAUGAACGCGGCGGCGUGCUUAACACAUGCAAGUCGAACGAUGAAGCCCAGCUUGCUGGGUGGAUUAGUGGCGAACGGGUGAGUAACACGUGAGUAACCUGCCCUUAACUCUGGGAUAAGCCUGGGAAACUAGGUCUAAUACCGGAUAGGAGCGCCUACCGCAUGGUGGGUGUUGGAAAGAUUUAUCGGUUUUGGAUGGACUCGCGGCCUAUCAGCUUGUUGGUGAGGUAAUGGCUCACCAAGGCGACGACGGGUAGCCGGCCUGAGAGGGUGACCGGCCACACUGGGACUGAGACACGGCCCAGACUCCUACGGGAGGCAGCAGUGGGGAAUAUUGCACAAUGGGCGCAAGCCUGAUGCAGCGACGCCGCGUGAGGGAUGACGGCCUUCGGGUUGUAAACCUCUUUCAGUAGGGAAGAAGCGAAAGUGACGGUACCUGCAGAAGAAGCACCGGCUAACUACGUGCCAGCAGCCGCGGUAAUACGUAGGGUGCGAGCGUUAUCCGGAAUUAUUGGGCGUAAAGAGCUCGUAGGCGGUUUGUCGCGUCUGUCGUGAAAGUCCGGGGCUUAACCCCGGAUCUGCGGUGGGUACGGGCAGACUAGAGUGCAGUAGGGGAGACUGGAAUUCCUGGUGUAGCGGUGGAAUGCGCAGAUAUCAGGAGGAACACCGAUGGCGAAGGCAGGUCUCUGGGCUGUAACUGACGCUGAGGAGCGAAAGCAUGGGGAGCGAACAGG
rnacentral:rRNA from 1 species